UACGAAGGGGGCUAGCGUUGUUCGGAAUUACUGGGCGUAAAGCGCGCGCAGGCGGUCCUUCAAGUCAGGGGUGAAAUCCCGGAGCUCAACUCCGGAACUGCCUUUGAUACUGGAAAGCUUGAGUUCGGGAGAGGUGAGUGGAACUGCGAGUGUAGAGGUGAAAUUCGUAGAUAUUCGCAAGAACACCAGUGGCGAAGGCGGCUCACUGGCCCGAUACUGACGCUGAGGUGCGAAAGCGUGGGGAGCAAACAGG
rnacentral:rRNA from 1 species